rnacentral:lncRNA from 1 species
UCAAAUAGUUUUGACUAUUUGAACAAUUAUAAACUGGAAAUCGUUAUUCAUACAAACUUAUUUGGAAUAAAAUAACACUAAUCUAAUAAUAUUCCAAAAAUUAAUAUCUAAGAGAAUUAAAAAAUAAAUUUCUUUACCGAAACGGUUUAAAUAUUUAACACCAUAUGAAUAAUUAUCUAUUUCAAAUCAUUAUGACCUUUUGUUUUGUCAUAAAAUAAGUUUUUUUGAA